rnacentral:tRNA from 1 species
UCUGGGGUUGUGGCUCAGUGGCAGAGCGCUUGCCUAGCAUGUGUGAGGCACUGAGUUUGAUUCUCAGCACUGGAA